rnacentral:rRNA from 1 species
CAUCCCGGGAAUUUUCUGGAAACAGAAAAGUGCUUCUUUAUAGAAGAGCCCCGGAGACAGGUGCUGCAUGGCUGUCGUCAGCUCGUGUCGUGAGAUGUUGGGUUAAGUCCCGUAACGAGCGCAACCCACGCCUUUAGUUGCCAUCAUUCAGUUGGGCACUCUAGAGGGACAGCCCCGGUUAACGGGGAGGAAGGUGUGGAUGACGUCAAGUCCUCAUGGCCCUUAUGGCCAGGGCUACACACGUACUACAAUGGGCGGUACAAAGGGCAGCUACAUCGCGAGGUGGAGCCAAUCCCCCAAAACCGUUCUCAGUCCGGAUCGGAGUCUGCAACUCGACUCCGUGAAGUUGGAAUCGCUAGUAAUCGUGGAUCAGCAAGCCACGGUGAAUACGUUCCCGGGCCUUGUACACACCGCCCGUCUC